rnacentral:lncRNA from 1 species
GAAAAAUGAGGUGACCAAUUAAAUGUCUUCAAAUGGUGAGUGAAGUGCCAAAUCAGCUCCACAUCAACAAUUACCAAACAGGCCUUUUCAUAAAUAAGAAAUGAAACACCCAUUCUUCCUCACGAAAGAUGAAAUUCAUUCAUUUGCAGUGAAAUUAAAAUCCCCCAAAAUCGAGCCCCAAACCCUAAGGUUAACCUAUUGAUUUUGCCCAAAAUUUCAACUUGCUUCUACACUGGAAGUGUGAUUUCAAUUGCAAUGAAUAUUUGCUUUGUGGCUGAGUAACUGAUAUGGAGUUGGUUUUGGCCAUUGAUGCACAGUUUUUGCCUCAAGGAGUUCCGAUAAUGUGGAGAAUCAAAAUGGGAUGUGAUUUUACAAUUUUACUUGAUGGUGUGAUUUUAAUUUCUUGCAAUGUCAAUACUAUUUUUUGUCGGACGGAAGGUUGCAGCUCAUGCCUACCGAGGAAGUCAACUUUAUCGAAACAGAUGAUGAAUUACUAGAUACAGAUGAGGCGACUUCUUCGAAAGUCAGAUCACAAAGGGCGCGAACAAGAUGAAGUCAUCGUGAAUGGAUGGAUUAUGGUAGCAAUUUUUUGGUCGUCUAUGCGAGAAAUUUCAACUUGCACUUAUAGUGCUCGAAAUAUUUUUGGUUACAAUUAUCGCACCUUUUUGUAUGAUUCUUUUUGUAGAAAUGCCGAGAAACGUGGGUGACAAAUCAUGUGGAUGGAAUGUAGAAACUUUGUUUUUGUUAUGAUGAAUUUGGUCUGUCAAUAUCGUUUAAUAUACUUUUUAAUUUGUGGAUGGAGUAAAUUUCCGUUCUAAAUAAUGACGAUGAAUUGGUAUAUAAUUUAUGUACUUAAUUGAAUAGCAUUAAAUACAUGAUAUCAGCAAAAAUUGUGGGGUUGAGAAGAUUCAAAGUAUUAUGCAUUUACCUUAGAUGUAUGAUUCUGUUUCUCCUUCAUGAUGGAAAUUUCUGAUUUCCAUCUACUGCUAUUGAUAGGCCGGUUUUAAGAUGUCAAUGCUGAUGUUCCUGCAUUGACAGCAUGUGUACAGUCACAG